UCAAGUAACUAUUUGUGGAUCUAUUGAGUAAAUAUUUGAUAAAUUAUCAAACUAAAGUAACAUAUUUGGUUGUAGACCCAUUGAGUGAACAUUUGAUAUAUUAUGAAACUAAUGGGUUUUUUUUUUGUCCAAGUAGCAAAUUUGCAAUUAGGUGUAUUGAGUGAGCACUUAAUGAAUUACCACAAGUAUGGUGCUAAUUCAACGUUUUAUUUUUACUUCUACUCAGGAGGGGAGCUGUAUUAUUGCCGCCAAAAAGGCACAGACCAGGCAGUCCAAGUGAAGGUUGUCUGUGGUGCUGAAGAGGCAAAUGAAAUUUUUAAGAGUUUUCAUGCCAGCCCGGCAGGGGCACACACCGGGCAAAAUAAAACAAGACACAGCAUCUCUCUGAGAUAUUACUGGCCAGCGAUGUCUGUUGACAUUAAUGAGUGGGUGUCCCAGUGCACCGAAUCUCAGGCAGCCGGCAUAUCAAUAAAAAGCCCAACAGAGGUCAUGCCUAUACAGGUCAGUUAAUCCAAAUAAUGUUCUCUAUUUUGACCCAAGGUCUAUAUAGUAUUUUGUAUGUGGCAUACUUUAUAUAACUAUUUUUCUCAGCAACAUCAAUUUAACACAAUUUGUUUUUAUAAAUAUUUAUUUAUUAGGUGUCUCAGCCAUUCGAACUCUUGGGGAUGGACCUCAUUGGCAAACUGGCUCAGACAAAAGAUGGAUACCAAUAUAUUUGCGUGAUGGUCGAUUAUUUCACGAAAUGGCCUCAAGCCUAUCCAUUGAGGUCGAAGUCUGCUGCUGAUGUUACCGCCUGUAUCCUAAAAUUCGUCUACCAAUUUGAGUCGCCAAAAAGGAUCUUGACAGAUCAAGGCAAAGAAUUUGUCAAUGCAAUCAACAAGAGAGUAUGUGAAAUGCUUGACAUAAAAAGAAGCCUUUGCUCACCAUACCACCCUCAAACUAAUGGGUCGGUG